rnacentral:rRNA from 1 species
UACGGAGGGUGCGAACGUUGCUCGGAAUCAUUGGGCGUAAAGCGCACGUAGGCGGCGGCGUAAGCGGGAUGUGAAAGCCCAGGGCUCAACCCUGGAAGUGCAUCCCGAACUGUGUCGCUUGAAUCUCGGAGGGGGACAGAGAAUUCCCGGUGUAGAGGUGAAAUUCGUAGAUAUCGGGAGGAAUACCAGUGGCGAAGGCGCUGUCCUGGACGAAGAUUGACGCUGAGGUGCGAAAGCGUGGGGAGCAGACAGG